rnacentral:lncRNA from 12 species
AGCAUUAUAAGAUUUGAAAGGCUCUCCUUGAUUGCCCCCAGUUUUCUAUCUGGGCUCUGCCUAAUAUAGGUGUACAAGAAAAAAAUGAGAAUAAUCUGUCCUGAUUUGCAGGCUUAAUUGCAGAUUGAACCCAGGGUUUUAAAUCAAUGUCUAUCCCUAACUGUGAAACUUCCAGCCCGUUUCCAUUCGCAGACAAAAGAAGUGUACCUUGGUUAUGGAAACACAUCUAACCAUACUUCAUUCUGUAAAUGAGAUGCCUCCCUGUGUUUGAUUAUGAAACUGCUUCUUUAAUCAACAGUAGAGUUCAAAGGUUCGCCUUGGGAGACAGCUUGGUAUCCCAGAGUCAGCAGACAAUCGGUAGGAGCAAGCAUUACAAAGUACACUACGAACUCAUAAACGUUGAGAACCACUGGACCAAUCUUGUCAUGUCAUGGUUUCCCCCCCACCCCCAAGAGAUACUGCAUUUCUGAUCCUGAAUCCUAUCUUGGCACCUAGAACCAUAUCACUCUCUAAGGCCAGUUCUAAGACUCUGGAAUACCAAGUGCCACCAACUCUGGAUCUCCUAGUUCUGGUCUCCAGCUACUUACUGAGAUAAUAUGUCUCAUAUUCACCUUUUUCUUACGGCCAAUUAUUUCCCAGACCUAUGACUGAAAAUACAGCUUCUCCUUCAACACUGCAUUUUGUUCUCUAAGUUAAAAUUCCUCUGUCCACAGCAGUUGCUGGGACAAUUCUUUCAUCCCAGGAGCAGGUAUAAUUUCUGAUCCAAUUCCCACCACAAUCUCCAUCCUAUCUUAAUUAAUUAAUCGUCCCCAGAAGAACCCCAGGAUCUAGUUAAUGACAUUCCUAAACUCACUAUUUAACCUCAAACCUUUUCAGAUAUCGUGGACUCCUUAUUGUUCACCGUCAAUCAAUGAGUUAAUCACUGUGGUAGUUAUUUCUUGUGUUUGGCAGUACUCAGAUCUCCUCCACUACCAGCCACAAAGCAGCAUUAGAUUAUCCCAUGAAGUGAGGCAGGACUUUAUUCUUUCCUUAGGUCAAUAAAAAUGGUAGCAAAAGUUACCUUGCA